rnacentral:lncRNA from 1 species
AACCCUAAUGAGCCCUAAAAACGUUCUUAUUCUAAAUCUAGGGGCGCAACUUUCUUUGACGAUGCCGCUAAUUCUAAAUCUAAGAGGCGCAGAUACAAGUUAUGGCGGAGGAGAUGCAUUAACUAUUGAAGAAACCGAUGACGACGAGGAGGAGAUACGAUCUUCCUUUAAGGUUCUUUAAGCAAUUCAUUUAUUUAUUUUAGAUCCGAUUCGCACUAGCAUAAUUUAGGGAUUUUGUAAUAGUAGAUCUUUUGAUUUUUCACUAAUUAAACAGCUAAAUAAUUUCUCUUUGACUUGAAGGGUUAGUAAAACAAAAAGGGUAAUUGUAUUUAAUCCCCGUGUGUUGCUAUUUAUUUCGAUUUGCAGUAGCAUAAUUUAGGGGUUUGGUUAUAUUAGAUCUUUUGAUUUUCCACCGGAUAUGGUAAAUAUGGUAAUUAAAGGAGUAAAGAAUUUCUCUUUGAUUUGAAAGGUUAGUGAAACAAAGAGUGUAAUUUUACUAAAUCCAUGUGUGUUUUGUUUGCUAUCUAUGGACAGGAUUUCGGUAUUAGGUCGAUGUUUAUGGCAUUUCAUAAUUUGUAUAGAAUGAAGAACAAUGGUCAAAAUGUGUUUGCAACCAAUGGGCCGUGCUUCUAGAAGAUCUCCAUUAAGAAGAAACUGCUAACUUUAAGUUCUGGUAUCGAAUUCUAUUAGACCUUGUAGGAUCGAAUGAUCCUUUAAUGUGGUACUAGAAGACUAGGUUUUGGAACCACUGGAGUCUCUUCUUCAAGCCCUUGGCUGCUGUUCAAAGGAGAUACGGAGCAUCUCUUAGCCAUUGAGCUAAGACUAUAUAAAUGCAGUUGCUGCGGCCGCCUCACUUGGUUGGAUUGACAACUGCUGAGCCUACUGGCAUACGACUCAAACAAAAUGCUUAAUCACCCCUGUCAUUUACCUUCACCCAUACAUAUGUGCAGCUAUAAAAUGUGUAACAUUGGGUCGCGCACUACAGGAAAAAUAUCUAUCUGCGACCAAUGCAUUCAACGAUCGCCCCAUCCGGUCACUGAUAGUAUUGAGCCUAGGCUUAUAUAUAUGUAUGUAUAUAUAUAUAUAUAUAUAUAUAUAUAUAUAUAUAUAUCUUCAUCUUGCAUUACCUGCUGAAGGUCGUAUCUCUUGCCGGCCUGUCGAAGUUAUCAACUUACCUCCAAUUCCUUCGGUCUUAAGGGAGUUAAGACCGAAGUUAUCAACUUACCUCCAAUUCUUUCGUAUCUCUUGCCCUUCUUCAUUGACAACCACCAAGUUAACAGAUUGCAUCAGUAUCGGACAAGCUGGUUUUGUUCAAUUUCAACUUUCAUUUUGAUAUUUGUUUUCAAUAUUGUUCACAAGUGUUUUGUGAGAAUCAUUAUUGUAUAUGUUGGUUUAUCUCAAAUACCCACUUGUAUGAGUAGUAGUACAUUAUAAUGUGAUCGUAUGAACUUUGCAUACUAUAAUUGAGGCAAACAUUCUCCCCUACGUACAAAUAUGUGUGCUCAUUUGUUUCCGAUUUAUAAUUGUUUUAUUUUAACUCACAUAUUUCAAUAAUUUUUAAAUUUAAUUAUUUUCAGGUAUAUAUUGAAGGAUACAUGAUGUAAGCUGUAAAGAAUAUACUUGGUGUAAGCUGUAAAGUAAAGGGUCUUAGUGUCUCUAUUUUCUGCAUGUAUGUAUUACCCAAAUUCUAGGUUUUGUCCUAGAAGUUAAACCAGUGGAAGGAAGAAGAAGAUGAUGGUUAAGGAGAAGUGGGUGAAAAGCUCUACCAAAUCCUCCCUCAGCCAUCUUCACAGAUGUGACGCCCCCAAAAUAGGUUUACAUCACCUAUUCUGAGUCGCCAAAUACAUAGUACAGAAUACAAAUACAAAUUUAAAUAUACAACAUGAGCUGUGAGUUUUAAUACAAAUAUUGUCUUCUAGACAGUAUACAAACUCAAAAUAAGUCCUCAAUACAUUU